rnacentral:rRNA from 1 species
UACGGAGGGUGCAAGCGUUAAUCGGAAUUACUGGGCGUAAAGCGCACGCAGGCGGUCUGUUAAGUCAGAUGUGAAAUCCCCGGGCUUAACCUGGGAACUGCAUUUGAAACUGGCAGGCUUGAGUCUUGUAGAGGGAGGUAGAAUUCCAGGUGUAGCGGUGAAAUGCGUAGAGAUCUGGAGGAAUACCGGUGGCGAAGGCGGCCCCCUGGACAAAGACUGACGCUCAGGUGCGAAAGCGUGGGGAGCAAACAGG